GCAUUCUGCCCAGCUGGAUUCAAAAUCCCAGGGGAGGAGAGGUCAGGGAAGCCUUCCUGGAGGAGGAGGCAUUUGACAUAGGUCUCCAGUGAUGGACAAGGUGUCAGUCACAGGGCUCCUUGGUCCUGUUUCCACAAGUGGAGAAUUGAAUGAUGGUUCCCGUCUCCUCCAGGCUCUUCCUGAUCCUCUGCUCAGCUGAACCUUCUCCGAGAGGCUGCACCACCUUCCUCCACCCCCAACCCAAGACCUUGGACCAGCUCCUCCAUCUCUGAGACCCCAACUUUUCUCUACCUCUGCCUCUUUCAUGAGGUGCCCCCUGCCAAGACUCAGU